UCAGGACAAGAUGCUGUGGCAACAGAGACAAGAGGACUUCCUUCCAAACCAGAAGCCCCACCUGGAAAUCCUCCUAUGUUUUGGAAUAGAGCUCAAUUCCCCAUGAAGCAACCAUGGCCUCUUCCACAUGAGCCAGGCCCACUAUCAGAGAUUCCUUCCAUGCCCAAAAUCUCAUUUGGAAACCUUCCGAUAUUUGGGGGUAGAGACAGAAUCCCCAUGGAGCAGCCAUGGCCUGUCCCACCUU